CUCGUAGGCGGCCAACUAAGUCCGACGUGAAAUCCCAAAGCUUAACUUUGGAACUGCGUCGGAUACUGGAUGGCUUGAAUUCGGGAGAGGGAUGCAGAAUUCCAGGUGUAGCGGUGAAAUGCGUAGAUAUCUGAAGGAAUACCGGUGGCGAAGGCGGCAUCCUGGACCGACAUUGACGCUGAUGAGCGAAAGCUAGGGGAGCAAACG
rnacentral:rRNA from 1 species